AUUGAACGCUGGCGGCAGGCUUAACACAUGCAAGUCGAGCGAGCGGCGGACGGGUUAGUAAUGUCUGGGAAACUGCCUGAUGGAGGGGAAUAACUACUGUAAACGGUAGCUAAUACCGCAUACCAUCAGAUGUGCCCAGCUGGGAUUAGCUAGUUGGUGGGGUAAUGGCACACCGAGGGGACGAUCCCUAGCUGGUCUGAGAGGAUGACCAGUCACACUGGAACUGAGACACGGUCCAUACUCCUACGGGAGGCAGCAGUGGGGAAUAGUGCAUAAUGGGGGCAAGCCUGAUGCAGCCAUGUCGCGUGUGUGAAGAAGGCCUUCGGCUUGUAAAGCACUUUAAGGGGGGAGGCGUUACUCGCAGAAGAAGCACCGGCUAACUCCGUGCCAGCCGCAGCGGUAAUUC
rnacentral:rRNA from 1 species